GUUCCUCUGGUCUACCCAGUACAGCCAGUAGAGGACUGGCCACCCCUCAUAGCCUGGUUCCUCUGGUCUACCCAGUACAGCCAGUAGAGGACUGGCCACCCCUCAGAGCCUGGUUCCUCUCUACCCAGUACAGCCAGUAGAGGACUGGUCACCCCUCAGAGCCUGGUUCCUCUCUACCCAGUACAGCCAGUAGAGGACUGGUCACCCCUCAGAGCCUGGUUCCUCUGGUCUACCCAGUACAGCCAGUAGAGGACUGGUCACCCCUCAGAGCCUGGUUCCUCUGGUCUACCCAGUACAGCCAGUAGAGGACUGGUCACCCCUCAGAGCCUGGUUCCUCUGGUCUACCCAGUACAGCCAGUAGAGGACUGGCCACCCCUCAGAGCCUGGUUCCUCUCUACCCAGUACAGCCAGUAGAGGACUGGUCACCCCUCAGAGCCUGGUUCCUCUCUACCCAGUACAGCCAGUAGAGGACUGGUCACCCCUCAGAGCCUGGUUCCUCUCUACCCAGUACAGCCAGUAGAGGACUGGCCACCCCUCAGAGCCCGGUUCCUCUCUACCCAGUACAGCCAGUAGAG
rnacentral:lncRNA from 1 species